rnacentral:rRNA from 1 species
GUAUGACCAAACCACCUUGAACACACAUGAUCUUAUCUGAUCUUGGAAGUUAAGCAGGGUCAAGCCUGGUUAGUACUUGGAUGGGAGACAAUUGAAGGGUUCUUUGAAUGUUCAAGACU